rnacentral:rRNA from 1 species
AUCCCCCAUAGGCCUGAGGUACUGGAAGGUCCUCAGGCCGAAAGGGGCUCUGCCCGCCCGAGGAUGGGCCGGCGGCCGAUUAGGUAGUUGGUGGGGUAACGGCCCACCAAGCCGAAGAUCGGUACGGGCCAUGAGAGUGGGAGCCCGGAGAUGGACACUGAGACACGGGUCCAGGCCCUACGGGGCGCAGCAGGCGCGAAACCUCCGCAAUGCGGGCAACCGCGACGGGGGGACCCCCAGUGCCGUGGCAACGCCACGGCUUUUCCGGAGUGUAAAAAGCUCCGGGAAUAAGGGCUGGGCAAGGCCGGUGGCAGCCGCCGCGGUAAUACCGGCGGCCCGAGUGGUGGCCGCUAUUAUUGGGCCUAAAGCGUCCGUAGCCGGGCCCGUAAGUCCCUGGCGAAAUCCCACGGCUCAACCGUGGGGCUUGCUGGGGAUACUGCGGGCCUUGGGACCGGGAGAGGCCGGGGGUACCCCUGGGGUAGGGGUGAAAUCCUAUAAUCCCAGGGGGACCGCCAGUGGCGAAGGCGCCCGGCUGGAACGGGUCCGACGGUGAGGGACGAAGGCCAGGGGAGCGAACCGGAUUAGAUACCCGGGUAGUCCUGGCUGUAAAGGAUGCGGGCUAGGUGUCGGGCGAGCUUCGAGCUCGCCCGGUGCCGAAGGGAAGCCGUUAAGCCCGCCGCCUGGGGAGUA